GUGAAAGCACAAGUCAGAAUCUUCUGUCUGCACAGAACAGGUACAGUGCAUGCAGCUGUAGUUCAGCACAUCAUAUUGACUAUAUGUCUCAACCUAGACUUUGAGGGGCUGCUUUCAGUGGUGAAUUUACAAUUCCUUCUCCAUUCUCAUUCAGUCCUUGACUUUU
rnacentral:sRNA from 1 species